GGUACAUCGGAGAAAUGAAGCAUCCACAUUUCUCCAUGUUAUACAUGAUACAAUUCACAAGGAGGAACUAAAAACAUG
rfam:Clostridiales sp. SS3/4 draft genome.